UACGUAGGGUCCGAGCGUUGUCCGGAGUUACUGGGCGUAAAGGGCGCGCAGGCGGCGGUGUUGGCCCGGCGUGAAAGCCCCCGGCUCAACCGGGGAGGGUCGUCGGGGACCGCACCGCUUGAGGGCGGGAGAGGGCGGUGGAAUUCCCGGUGUAGUGGUGAAAUGCGUAGAGAUCGGGAGGAACACCUGUGGCGAAGGCGGCCGUCUGGGCCGACCCUGACGCUGAGGCGCGAAGGCGUGGGGAGCGAACGGG
rnacentral:rRNA from 1 species